CGAAUCUUGAUUCCUGUUGUCUUCCUAAUACUAUUCUGUUCCUGGUUGGUUCAGGCUCGCUAUUUGCCUACAAGGGCUGACGAAAAAGAGAAAAAUCAAAUAAAGGACGUACUACAGAUGUUAGUAGAGAUGAGCUCUGGAGACAAUGCUGAAGCUGACAAGCCAACUGUGUUGAUCGACUUUCAAAGGCCUAUACUCACUGUUAUACCUGACUCAUUUACCCUCGGAGUGAAGGACCACUAUCGGCAGAAAGAUCUAUCUUAAAUGUUCUUUUUCAUUAAAUUUGUUUGUUUUCAGAUUCCCACAAGGAUAAUUCAACCUGAAGCAUACUUUAGAAACCCAGAUAAUUAUCUUCCGAAUUUUGAUUUGUCUUCUUAAGUCGUUCAAGAUUGAAAAACCCCAAGACAAAAAAAAGACAGAAAGAAUGAAAAUUCGUGAAAUGUGAUUCUCGCUUUGAAUUCUUAUCUUUUCUUGUUAUGAAUAUUUUGCU